UACGUAGGGGGCUAGCGUUGUCCGGAAUCAUUGGGCGUAAAGCGUGCGCAGGCGGUUUUGUAAGUCUGUCGUGAAAUCCCCGGGCUCAACCUGGGAAUUGCGAUGGAGACUGCAAGGCUAGAAUCUGGCAGAGGGGGGUAGAAUUCCACGUGUAGCAGUGAAAUGCGUAGAGAUGUGGAGGAACACCGAUGGCGAAGGCAGCCCCCUGGGUCAAGAUUGACGCUCAUGCACGAAAGCGUGGGGAGCAAACAGG
rnacentral:rRNA from 1 species